GAUGAACGCUGGCGGCGUGCCUAAUACAUGCAAGUCGAGCGAACAGACGAGGAGCUUGCUCCUCUGACGUUAGCGGCGGACGGGUGAGUAACACGUGGAUAACCUACCUAUAAGACUGGGAUAACUUCGGGAAACCGGAGCUAAUACCGGAUAAUAUAUUGAACCGCAUGGUUCAAUAGUGAAAGACGGUUUUGCUGUCACUUAUAGAUUGAUCCGCGCCGCAUUAGCUAGUUGGUAAGGUAACGGCUUACCAAGGCGACGAUGCGUAGCCGACCUGAGAGGGAGAUCGGCCACACUGGAACUGAGACACGGUCCAGACACCUACGGGAGGCAGCAGUAGGGAAUCUUCCGCAAUGGGCGAAAGCCUGACGGAGCAACGCCGCGUGAGUGAUGAAGGUCUUCGGAUCGUAAAACUCUGUUAUUAGGGAAGAACAAAUGUGUAAGUAACUAUGCACGUCUUGACGGUAACGAAUCAGAAAGCCACGGCUAACUACGUG
rnacentral:rRNA from 1 species